GGGUGUGUAGCUCAGCGGAAGAGCGCUUCCCUCACACGGAAGAGGCCACAGGUUCGAUCCCUGUCACACCCACCA
rnacentral:tRNA from 1 species